rnacentral:misc_RNA from 1 species
GCAAACUUGGUCAUUUAGAGGAAGUAAAAGUCGUAACAAGGUUUCCGUAGGUGAACCUGCGGAAGGAUCAUUAUUGAAUGAAAUUGAGUGGGGUUGUCGCUGGCCUUUCACCGGGCAUGUGCACACCUCAUUCAACCUCUCUACACCUCUGUGCACUUCUCAUGGGUUGGGCUGCGUCUGAAAUAUUGACAUGGCCCCUCUCAUGUGUUCUAUACAAACUAUACAUGUUUUAGAAUGUCUAUACAAUGCGUAAAAGCAUAUAAUACAACUUUCAACAACGGAUCUCUUGGCUCUCGCAUCGAUGAAGAACGCAGC